GACGAACGCUGGCGGCGUGCUUAAUACAUGCAAGUCGAACGGAAAGGCCCUGCUUUUGUGGGGUGCUCGUGUGGCGAACGGGUGUGUAACACGCGAGUAUCCUGUCCCUGUCUUUGGGAUAACUUCAGGAAACUGGGGCUAAUAUCGGAUAGGAGCUCCUGAUGCACGGUGGGGGUUGGAAAGUUUCGGCGGUUGGGGAUGGACUCGCGGCUUAUCAGCUUGUUGGUGGGGUAGUGGCUUACCAAGGCUUUGACGGGUAGCCGGCCUGAGAGGGUGACCGGCCACAUUGGGACUGAGGUACGGCCCAGACUGCUACGGGAGGCAGCAGUGGGGAGUAUUGCACAAUGGGCGGAAGCCUGAUGCAGCAACGCCGCGUUCGGGAUGACGGCCUUCGGGUUGUAAACCGCUUUCGCCUGUGACGAAGCGUGAGUGACGGUAAUUGGUAAAGAAGCACCGGCUAACUACGUG
rnacentral:rRNA from 1 species